CCUACGGGAGGCUGCAGUGAGGAAUAUUGGUCAAUGGGCUUACGCCUGAACCAGCCAAGUCGCGUGAGGGAAGACUGCCCUAUGGGUUGUAAACCUCUUUUGUCAGGGAGCAAUUGGCGCUACGUGUAGCGUUAUCGAGAGUACCUGAAGAAAAAGCAUCGGCUAACUCCGUGCCAGCAGCCGCGGUAAUACGGAGGAUGCGAGCGUUAUCCGGAUUGAUUGGGUUUAAAGGGUGCGUAGGCGGAAUGCCAAGUCAGCGGUAAAAUCGCGGGGCUCAACCUCGCUCCGCCGUUGAAACUGGCGUUCUUGAGUGGGCGAGAAGUAUGCGGAAUGCGUGGUGUAGCGGUGAAAUGCAUAGAUAUCACGCAGAACUCCGAUUGCGAAGGCAGCAUACCGGCGCCCAACUGACGCUGAAGCACGAAAGCGUGGGUAUCGAACAGGAUUAGAUACCCCAGUAGUC
rnacentral:rRNA from 1 species